UGGUUGAUCCAUUGGAAGACUGA
rnacentral:miRNA from 1 species